UAGGGAAUCUUCCGCAAUGGGCGAAAGCCUGACGGAGCAACGCCGCGUGAGUGAUGAAGGUCUUCGGAUCGUAAAACUCUGUUAUUAGGGAAGAACAAAUGUGUAAGUAACUAUGCACGUCUUGACGGUACCUAAUCAGAAAGCAACGGCUAACUACGUGCCAGCAGCCGCGGUAAUACGUAGGUGGCAAGCGUUAUCCGGAAUGAUUGGGCGUAAAGCGCGCGUAGGCGGUUUUUUAAGUCUGAUGUGAAAGCCCACGGCUCAACCGUGGAGGGACAUUGGAAACUGGAAAACUUGAGUGCAGAAGAGGAAAGUGGAAUUCCAUGUGUAGCGGUGAAAUGCGCAGAGAUAUGGAGGAACACCAGUGGCGAAGGCGACUUUCUGGUCUGUAACUAACGCUGAUGUGCGAAAGCGGGGGGAUCAAACAGG
rnacentral:rRNA from 1 species